rnacentral:rRNA from 1 species
UACGUAGGAGGCGAGCGUUGUCCGGAUUUACUGGGCGUAAAGGGCGCGCAGGCGGCACCAUAAGUACUUUGUGAAAUCUCCCUGCUCAACGGGGAGGGUGCAGAGUAGACUAUGGAGCUAGAGGUGGGUAGAGGGUGGUGGAAUUGCUGGUGUAGCGGUGAAAUGCGUAGAGAUCAGCAGGAACACCCGUGGCGAAGGCGGCCCCCUGGGCCUAACCUGACGCUGAGGCGCGAAGGCUAGGGGAGCGAACGGG